rnacentral:rRNA from 1 species
UGAACGCUGGCGGCGUGCCUACUACAUGCAAGUCGAGCGAACAGACGAGGAGCUUGCUCCUUUGACGUUAGCGGCGGACGGGUGAGUAACACGUGGAUAACCUACCUAUAAGACUGGGAUAACUUCGGGAAACCGGAGCUAAUACCGGAUAACAUGUUGAACCGCAUGGUUCAACAGUGAAAGACGGUCUUGCUGUCACUUAUAGAUGGAUCCGCGCCGCAUUAGCUAGUUGGUAAGGUAACGGCUUACCAAGGCAACGAUGCGUAGCCGACCUGAGAGGGUGAUCGGCCACACUGGAACUGAGACACGGUCCAGACUCCUACGGGAGGCAGCAGUAGGGAAUCUUCCGCAAUGGGCGAAAGCCUGACGGAGCAACGCCGCGUGAGUGAAGAAGGUCUUCGGAUCGUAAAACUCUGUUAUUAGGGAAGAACAAAUGUGUAAGUAACUAUGCACGUCUUGACGGUACCUAAUCAGAAAGCCACGGCUAACUACGUG